CUUGGGCUUCCGGAUUAUCAGAAAUCAGGGAACAGCAAGAUCACGGACCAAAAGGAAAAAUAAAAACAAAACCAUCUGAUUCCAAUUACAAAAGAUGCUAACCCAUCUUCGAUCUUUGUCUCUUCCCUAAAUAUGCCAACCUGUAUUUUCUCAUAUUCAUCCAAAUUUCACUACCCAUGUGGCAUAUGUACCCCACACUAGUCUAGUCAUCCUUUUAAAA
rnacentral:lncRNA from 1 species